GAUGAACGCUAGCGGCAGGCUUAACACAUGCAAGUCGAGGGGCAGCAUAAACAUUGCUUGCAAUGUUUGAUGGCGACCGGCGCACGGGUGCGUAACGCGUAUGUAACCUACCUCAAACAGGGGCAUAACACUGAGAAAUUGGUACUAAUUCCCCAUAACACUUUGGAGGGCAUCCUCUGGGGUUGAAAGUUCCGGCGGUUUGGGAUGGACAUGCGUUGUAUUAGCUAGUUGGUGAGGUAACGGCUCACCAAGGCGACGAUACAUAGGGGGACUGAGAGGUUAACCCCCCACAUUGGUACUGAGACACGGACCAAACUCCUACGGGAGGCAGCAGUGAGGAAUAUUGGUCAAUGGACGCAAGUCUGAACCAGCCAUGCCGCGUGCAGGAUGACGGCUCUAUGAGUUGUAAACUGCUUUUGUAUGAGGGUAAUAACGGGUACGUGUACCUGCUUGAAAGUAUCAUACGAAUAAGGAUCGGCUAACUCCGUGCCAG
rnacentral:rRNA from 1 species